rnacentral:rRNA from 1 species
AUUGAACGCUGGCGGCAGGCCUAACACAUGCAGGUCGAACGGUAACAGGAAGCUGCUUGCUGCUUCGCUGACGAGUGGCGGACGGGUGAGUAAUGUCUGGGAAACUGCCUGAUGGAGGGGGAUAACUACUGGAAACGGUAGCUAAUACCGCAUAACGUCGCAAGACCAAAGAGGCGGACCUUAGGGCCUCUUGCCAUCGGAUGUGCCCAGAUGGGAUUAGCUAGUAGGUGGGGUAACGGCUCACCUAGGCGACGAUCCCUAGCUGGUCGGAGCGGAUGACCAGCCACACUGGAACGGAGACACGGUCCAGACUCCUACGGGAGGCAGCAGAGGGGAAUAUUGCACAAUGGGCGCAAGCCUGAUGCAGCCAUGCCGAGUGUAUGAAGAAGGCCUUCGGGUUGUAAAGGACUUUCAGCGGGGAGGAAGGGAGUAAAGUUAAUACCUUUGCUCAUUGACGUUACCCGCAGAAGAAGCACCGGCUAACUCCGUG